rnacentral:lncRNA from 1 species
UUUGGUCGGUUCCUGAACGCUUUGGAACGCCUGUGCGCUCUCCUAUCCUGUCCUCUUUCCAUGUGCAGCUCGCUGAGAUCUGGUGGCUGUAAUUUAAUAUUCCUAAGUGAAGCUUGCUUUGGGUUUAUGGUCUGAGGGCCAAAAGUUACAACCAGCCUGAAGAAAUAGGCUCUCUCGUGGAGCUGGAGUGCCCUCUGCUGCCCCAAAGAAGAAGUGCAGGUGCAGAGCGGCUCCUGCCGGAGCUGUCCCGCAGUGCAGUCACAAAGUAGAGAGGAACGGAGGACAACUGGCUGAACCAAGACUCCAAACAUGACCCAGGGGGAGUGUCCAGGCAUCCUUAGCCAAGCCACGUAAGCUGAGAUCCCAGAUAUUGUGGAGCAAAAAUGAAUCCUUUGACUGUUCCUUACUCAAAUUCCUGACUCACAAUUAUAAAUAUUAAAUGUUGUUUUAUGC